GAACUGCGAUAAGUAAUGUGAAUUGCAGAAUUCAGUGAAUCAUCGAGUCUUUGAACGCACAUUGCGCCCCCUGGCAUUCCGGGGGGCAUGCCUGUCCGAGCGUCAUUGCUGCCCUCAAGCCCGGCUUGUGUGUUGGGUCGUCGUCCCCCCCGGGGGACGGGCCCGAAAGGCAGCGGCGGCACCGUGUCCGGUCCUCGAGCGUAUGGGGCUUUGUCACCCGCUCGAUUAGGGCCGGCCGGGCGCCAGCCGGCGUCUCCAACCUUAUUUUUCUCAGGUUGAUCUCGGAUCAGGUAGGGAUACCCGCUGAACUUAAGC
rnacentral:misc_RNA from 1 species